GGGUCAGCAGGUUGGUCGUGCCACCGGUACGUACUGGUCUCACUGAUUCCUCCUUCCUGAAGAACCGUAAUGCCAUCAAUUUGGUGUUGCGGGGAAACAGGACUGUUACUUUGAAAAAAUUAGAGUGUUUAAAGCAAGCUAACGCUUGAAUACAUUAGCAUGGAAUAAUGAAAUAGGACGAUCGAUCCUAUUUUGUUGGUUUCUAGGAUUGACGUA
rnacentral:rRNA from 1 species